AAGAAGUAUCUCUCUGUAGGAGGAAGAAUAUAAUCCAGAUACAUUUAAAGAAACUGUAUUCAUCCUGCUGGCUCUUUGUUUGUUCUUGGUUUACAAGUUUAUUGCUUGCCAGGGCUUUGAAUAUGGGGCAUCGUAAAAAGACUGCUGAGUCUUGUUGGGCCUUCAGACUGCUGUACCUCUGCUGCUCUUCCAUGUGGGUGCCAAUGGAACUGCCAGAGUAGACCUGGAAUAUAUCAGUUACAGAGCACCUGAGGAGAGGGUGAAGGGCCUGCGUGACCAGGUGAUUUUCUUCUUAAUCCUGUCAGUGAUAGGGAAGGGCUUGACAAGAAAUGAAUGUAUACUUUAUGUCAGCAACAAUUUGCAUAGUUGAUGUUGACAGCAGAGGUUUUUUUUUUUUUUUUUUUUUUUUUGAGGGUCAAAGACUGCUAGGAAGAGACAGGGUCUGCAAGACUAGGCAGGACAGAAGUAUCUCUGCCAAUGGGCUGGCCAACCUGGUGAAGAGAAUUUUAAAUGAGCAACAGUAGAGGAGGGAGAAGAUGACCCACAGUCAAGUGGUAAAAUGGUGAACUAGGUUGACAAGCUGUGUGCAAUGUGAUACGGAGAAGACAGGCCUCAUAAUCAAUUUAAAAGUUCAAGUGGGCACCAGAUCAAGUGUUUCAGGUUUUCACAGCAAAGAAAGCCAGAAGCAUCCUGGCCUGCAUUAGCAAGAGCAUUGCCAGCAGAUGGAGAGACAUGACUUUACAGGUAACAAAAACAGGUAAUAAAAAAGGGAAAAGUACAGGGGCAUCAGAGGAGGAGGUGGUGGUGGUGGGGAUGGGGUCACCAAAGGAAGUGUUCUUUUCAAAAUUUUAUCUUUUCAUUUAGAGUAUCUACCAACAGUCUUGCCUGGAUUAUUGUUGAAUUAAAAAUUCAGAAGGGGAUAAGUUUGGACCCUCUAGCAUGUAAAUGCUCUCCUAGGGCAACUGCACCUGCACAUGUUAUGCCUUUUCAAUGCAAUGGGUAACUGGUUUAAUUUAGUUAACAGGCUGAUGCUUUAGGCAUACUGCUCCACUGGUUUGCACAUGAUUCCAGCUUUAAUACUUUUCUAAAGUUUAAAUUAGAAUUUUGACUGCUGCUGAACUUUUGAAAUUGCUUUAUCUGAUAUAUAAUUUCAGUAGCUCAAUGCCAGUAAAAAUGCUAAUUAUUACUUAAGUCCAAAUGUAAGUUGAGUUUGUGAAAUGCAAUAAAGUCAGAUUUUCUAAGCAUUUUUAUAAUGUCCUUCUGCAAAAGUCAUAAAAUUUUAAGAUACUAAUAAUUCUGCUACUUGACAACAUUAUGAAUUAUGAACAAAGCAUAUACUCUUUUCAUACCCUUUUUGAAAGAUGUUUUAAAUGCAAGUGAUAAGCAAACAUUUCAAGUUCUUAAAAUACAGUGUCCUUGGUCCAAUUGGCUUUAAUAAAAUGAAGUCCACUCUGUGGGCUUCCACAGAGUUGUACAGAGUUGUAUAAAGGAGAAUAAUAA